AUUGAACGCUGGCGGCAGGCCUAACACAUGCAAGUCGAACGAGUGGCGGACGGGUGAGUAAUGUCUGGGAAACUGCCCGAUGGAGGGGGAUAACUACUGGAAACGGUAGCUAAUACCGCAUACCAUCGGAUGUGCCCAGAUGGGCUUAGAUAGUAGGUGGGGUAACGGCUCACCUAGGCGACGAUACCUAGCGGGUCUGAGAGGAUGACCGGCCACAUGGGAACUGAGACACUGUACAGACUCGUACGGGAGGCAUCAGUGGGGAAUAUUGCACAAUGGGCGCAAGCCUGAUGCAGCCAUGCCGCGUGUAUGAAGAAGGCCUUCGGGUUGUAAAGUACUUGCAGCGGGGAGGCGUUACCCUCAGAAGAAGCACCGGCUAACUCCGUGCCAGCAGCCGCGGUAAUAC
rnacentral:rRNA from 1 species